AUUUCCGUAGGUGAACCUGCGGAAGGAUCAUUACCGAGUUGAUUCGGGCUCCGGCCCGAUCCUCCCACCCUUUGUGUACCUACCUCUGUUGCUUUGGCGGGCCGCGGUCCUCCGCGGCCGCCCCCCUCCCCGGGGGGGUGGCCAGCGCCCGCCAGAGGACCAUCAAACUCCAGUCAGUAAACGAUGCAGUCUGAAAAACAUUUAAUAAACUAAAACUUUCAACAACGGAUCUCUUGGUUCUGGCAUCGAUGAAGAACGCAGCGAAAUGCGAUAAGUAAUGUGAAUUGCAGAAUUCAGUGAAUCAUCGAAUCUUUGAACGCACAUUGCGCCCUUUGGUAUUCCGAAGGGCAUGCCUGUUCGAGCGUCAUUACAACCCUCAAGCUCUGCUUGGUAUUGGGCACCGUCCUUUGCGGGCGCGCCUCAAAGACCUCGGCGGUGGCGUCUUGCCUCAAGCGUAGUAGAACAUACAUCUCGCUUCGGAGCGCAGGGCGUCGCCCGCCGGACGAACCUUCUGAACUUUUCUCAAGGUUGACCUCGGAUCAGGUAGGGAUACCCGCUGAACUUAAGCAUAUCAAUAAGCGGAGGAAAUC
rnacentral:rRNA from 1 species